rnacentral:rRNA from 1 species
CCUAACACAUGCAAGUCGAGCGGCAGCACGGGAAGCUUGCUUCCUGGUGGCGAGCGGCGGACGGGUGAGUAAUGCAUAGGAAUCUGCCCGGUAGUGGGGGAUAACCUGGGGAAACCCAGGCUAAUACCGCAUACGUCCUACGGGAGAAAGCAGGGGCUCUUCGGACCUUGCGCUAUCGGAUGAGCCUAUGUCGGAUUAGCUGGUUGGUGAGGUAAUGGCUCACCAAGGCGACGAUCCGUAGCUGGUCUGAGAGGAUGAUCAGCCACAUCGGGACUGAGACACGGCCCGAACUCCUACGGGAGGCAGCAGUGGGGAAUAUUGGACAAUGGGCGCAAGCCUGAUCCAGCCAUGCCGCGUGUGUGAAGAAGGCCCUCGGGUUGUAAAGCACUUUCAGUGGGGAAGAACGCCUGGUGGUUAAUACCCGUCAGGAAAGACAUCACCCACAGAAGAAGCACCGGCUAACUCCGUGCCAGCAGCCGCGGUAAUACGGAGGGUGCGAGCGUUAAUCGGAAUUACUGGGCGUAAAGCGCGCGUAGGUGGCUUGAUAAGCCGGUUGUGAAAGCCCCGGGCUCAACCUGGGAACGGCAUCCGGAACUGUCAGGCUAGAGUGCAGGAGAGGAAGGUAGAAUUCCCGGUGUAGCGGUGAAAUGCGUAGAGAUCGGGAGGAAUACCAGUGGCGAAGGCGGCCUUCUGGACUGACACUGACACUGAGGUGCGAAAGCGUGGGUAGCAAACAGGAUUAGAUACCCUGGUAGUCCACGCCGUAAACGAUGUCGACUAGCCGUUGGGUCCUUUGCGGACUUUGUGGCGCAGUUAACGCGAUAAGUCGACCGCCUGGGGAGUACAGCCGCAGGUUUAAAACUCAAAUGAAUUGACGGGGGCCCGCACAAGCGGUGAAGCAUGUGGUUUAAUUCGAUGCAACGCGAAGAAUCUUACCUACCCUUGACAUCCUCGGAAUCCGCCAGAGAUGGCGGAUCGCCUUCGGGAACCGAGAAACAGGUGCUGCUUGGCUGUCGUCAGCUCGGGUUGCGAAAUGUUGGGUUUAGUCCCGUA